rnacentral:rRNA from 1 species
AGUGGAUGGGGAGCAACCUAGUUGUGCGUGUGUAAAGGUAGUGCCAAGAAAAGCGAUGAUCAUGUUGAAAAUCAAUUCCCGGUACCCGAAACCGACACAGGUGGGCAAGUAGAGAAUACUAAGGGGCGCGAGGUAACUCUCUCCAGGGAACUCGGCAAGAUGACCCCGUAACUUAGGGAGAAGGGGUGCCACCGAGAGGUGGUCGCAGUGAAGAGGCCCAGGCGACUGUUUAGCAAAAACAUAGGUCUCUGCAAACUCGAAAGAGGAGGUAUAGGGGCUGACGCCUGCCCAGUGCCGGAAGGUUAAAGAAGUUGGUCAGUUUUAGGAUGAAGCUAGCGACUGAAGCCCCGGUGAACGGCGGCCGUAACUAUAACGGUCCUAAGGUAGCGAAAUUCCUUGUCGGGUAAGUUCCGACCCGCACGAAAGGCGUAACGGUCUGGGCGCUGUCUCGGAGAGAGGCUCGGCGAAAUAGGAUUGUCUGUGAAGAUACGGACUACCUGCAUUUGGACAGAAAGACCCUAUGAAGCUUUACUAUAGCUUGGAAUUGUGUUCGGGCUUCCUGUGCGCAGGAUAGGUGGGAGGCGUAGAAGGUAUUCUUGUGGGGAUACUGGAGCCAACGGUGAGAUACCACUCUCAGGAGGCUAGAAUUCUAACUUAAUUAAGGACAGUUUCAGGUGGGUAGUUUGACUGGGGCGGUCGCCUCCAAAAAGGUAACGGAGGCGUACAAAGGUUCCCUCAGACUGGUUGGAAAUCAGUCGAAGAGUGCAAAGGCAGAAGGGAGCUUGACUGCGAGAAGUACAGUUCGAGCAGGGUGGAAACACGGUCUUAGUGAUCCGACGGUGCUGUGUGGAAGGGCCGUCGCUCAACGGAUAAAAGUUACUCUAGGAUAACAGGCUGAUCUCCCCCAAGAGUUCACAUCGACGGGGAGGUUUGGCACCUCGAUGUCGGCUCAUCGCAACCUGGGGCGGAAGUACGUCCCAAGGGUUGGGCUGUUCGCCCAUUAAAGCGGUACGUGAGCUGGGUUCAGAACGUCGUGAGACAGUUCGGUCCAUAUCCGAUGUAGGCGUGAGAAUAUUGAGAGGAGCCUUCCUUAGUACGAGAGGACCGGGAAGGACGCACCGCUGGUGUACCUGUUAUGAUGCCAAUUGUAAACGCAGGGUAGCCGAGUGCGGAGAGGAUAACCGCUGAAAGCAUCUAAGUGGGAAGCCCACCUCAAGAUGAGUAUUCUGGUGUAAGGUCACGGGAAGACGACCCGUAAAUAGGCACGAGGUGGAGGUGCAGAGAUGUAUGAAGCCGAAGUGUACUAAUAGACCGUCGGCUU